GACGAACGCUGGCGGCGUGCUUAACACAUGCAAGUCGAACGAAGUGGCUAACGUGUGAGUAACGCGUAAUCAACCUGCCCUUCAGAGGGGGACAACAGUUGGCAACGACUGCUAAUACCGCAUACUGAAGGAGGGGAUUGCGUCGGAUUAGCUAGUUGGAGGGGUAACGGCCCACCAAGGCGAUGAUCAGUAGCCGGUUUGAGAGAAGGAACUGCAAAUUUGGGACGGCGACACGGCCCAGAAUCCUACGGGAGGCAGCAGUGGGGAAUCGUCCGCAAUGGACGAAAGUCUGAUGGAGCAAAGCCGCGUGAGUGAGGACGGCCUUCGGGUUGUAAAGCUCUGUAAAGCGGGACGCGGUACCGGAAUAGAAAGCCACGGCUAACUACGUGCCAGCAGCCGCGGUAAUAC
rnacentral:rRNA from 1 species